GUAGGUGGCAAGCGUUGUCCGGAAUUAUUGGGCGUAAAGCGCGCGCAGGUGGGUUCUUUAAGUCUGAUGUGAAAGCCCCCGGGCUCAACCGGGGAGGGUCAUUGGAAACUGGGGAACUUGAGUGCAGGAGAGGAAAGUGGAAUUCCACGUGUAGCGGUGAAAUGCGUAGAUAUGUGGAGGAACACCAGUGGCGAAGGCGACUUUCUGGCCUGUAACUGACACUGAGGCGCGAAAGCGUGGGGAGCAAACAGGAUUAGAUACCCUGGUAGUCAACGCCGUAAACGAUGAGUGCUAAGUGUUGGGGGGUUUCCGCCCCUCAGUGCUGCAGCUAACGCAUUAAGCACUCCGCCUGGGGAGUACGGUCGCAAGACUG
rnacentral:rRNA from 1 species